rnacentral:lncRNA from 1 species
CUCCUCUAGCCCCUCACUAGCAUCCUCACCAAAGUAAACCCAAUUCUUUUUUUCUCUUGCCCCUCCAUUCUCUCACAAAAGCUGAGACUCAUCAAAUACUCUUCCGGUCUUCUUCCAACUUGAAGUCUAGUAGGCUUCCUAGUGCCUUGGCUAGAAGAAGUAAUCUCUUCAAUAUUUUAAUAUUUUUUUAAUCUAUCUCCUCAAGAUU